GAUGAACGCCGGCGGUGUGCCUAAUACAUGCAAGUCGUACGCACUGGCCCAACUGAUUGAUGGUGCUUGCACCUGAUUGACGAUGGAUCACCAGUGAGUGGCGGACGGGUGAGUAACACGUAGGUAACCUGCCCCGGAGCGGGGGAUAACAUUUGGAAACAGAUGCUAAUACCGCAUAACAACAAAAGCCACAUGGCUUUUGUUUGAAAGAUGGCUUUGGCUAUCACUCUGGGAUGGACCUGCGGUGCAUUAGCUAGUUGGUAAGGUAACGGCUUACCAAGGCGAUGAUGCAUAGCCGAGUUGAGAGACUGAUCGGCCACAUUGGGACUGAGACACGGCCCAA
rnacentral:rRNA from 1 species